rnacentral:rRNA from 1 species
AGCAGCCGCGGUAAUUCCAGCUCCAAUAGCGUAUAUUAAAGUUGUUGCAGUUAAAAAGCUCGUAGUUGAAUUUCGAGACCGGUCUACUGGUCGUGCUUUUGUACGUACUGGUAUAAUCGGUUUCUCUCUUCUGACGAACUAUAAUGCCAUUAAUUUGGUGUUUUAGGGAAUCAGGACUGUUACUUUGAAAAAAUUAGAGUGUUUAAAGCAGGCUCACGCUUGAAUACAUUAGCAUGGAAUAACGAAAUAGGACGUUUGAUUCUAUUUUGUUGGUUUCUAGGAUCGACGUAAUGAUUAAUAGGGAUAGUUGGGGGCAUUAGUAUUCAAUUGUCAGAGGUGAAAUUCUUGGAUUUAUUGAAGACUAACUACUGCGAAAGCAUUUGCCAAGGAUGUUUUCAUUAAUCAAGAACGAAAGUUAGGGGAUCGAAGACGAUCAGAUACCGUCGUAGUCUUAACCAUAAAUUAUCCCGACUAGGGAUCGGAUGAUGUUAAAUUAAUGACUCAUUCGGCACCUUACGGG